GGGAAGAAAGAGAAGCGUGUGUGUUUUAGUGUGAGCAAUUUUCAGUAAUUUUCUUUUGGGGUCACAAAUGUUGGUCCAGGAACGUACGGCAGCCCCCAAAUCACCCAAAUCUCCAAGACCCCUCCCUACCACCCUCCAUCCAAAUCACAACAACAACAACCACCACCACCACCACCAGAAUUACCGUUUUUCGCCUUCCAAAUCCCUUGAUUUCUCCACCUGGUU
rnacentral:misc_RNA from 1 species